rnacentral:rRNA from 1 species
GACGAACGCUGGCGGCGUGCUUAACACAUGCAAGUCGAACGGAAAGGCCCUUCGGGGUACUCGAGUGGCGAACGGGUGAGUAACACGUGGGUGAUCUGCCCUGCACUUUGGGAUAAGCCUGGGAAACUGGGUCUAAUACCGGAUAGGACCACGGUCUGCAUGGAUUGUGGUGGAAAGCUUUUGCGGUGUGGGAUGGGCCCGCGGCCUAUCAGCUUGUUGGUGAGGUUACGGCUCACCAAGGCGACGACGGGUAGCCGGCCUGAGAGGGUGUCCGGCCACACUGGGACUGAGAUACGGCCCAGACUCCUACGGGAGGCAGCAGUGGGGAAUAUUGCACAAUGGGCGCAAGCCUGAUGCAGCGACGCCGCGUGAGGGAUGACGGCCUUCGGGUUGCAAACCUCUUUCGCCAGGGACAAAGCGCAAGUGACGGUACCUGGAGAAGAAGCACCGGCCAACUACGUGCCAGCAGCCGCAGUAAUAC